UGGGGUGCAGCUCAGUGGUAGAGCAUUUGCCUAACAUGCAGGAGGCCCUGGGCUCCAUCCCCAGAACUGCAA
rnacentral:tRNA from 1 species